rnacentral:rRNA from 1 species
AUUGAACGCUGGCGGCAGGCCUAACACAUGCAAGUCGAGCGGAGCGGCGGACGGGUGCGUAAUGCUUAGGAAUCUGCCUGGUCGCGGGGGAUAACGUCCGGAAAUGGGCGCUAAUACCGCAUACUCUUAGCUUCGCCUAGGGCGGAUUAGCUAGUUGGUGGGGUAAAGGGCUACCAAGGCGACGAUCCCUAACUGGUCUGAGAGGAUGAUCAGUCACACUGGAACUGAGACACGGUCCAGACUCCUACGGGAGGCAGCAGUGGGGAAUAUUGGACAAUGGGCGAAAGCCUGAUCCAGCCAUGCCGCGUGUGUGAAGAAGGUCUUCGGAUUGUAAAGCACUUUAAGUUAGGAGGCGUUACCAACAGAAUAAGCACCGGCUAACUUCGUGCCAGCAGCCGCGGUAAUAC